UCACUUUUUGUAUAUACAUAUCAUGGAGGAAAUGAUGUGAUAUAGUGGUUCUUUGUGAAUUGAGGGGAUUCAUAGGGAUAUUGGAAAGAAUUACUCAUGAGUGUCAGGCUGUACUGUCGGUAUGUCUUAUUGUAAUGAGAUCAAGUACAGCAAUGCUUUUCUCAUCUGUGAAUGACUUAUCUGGACAUUAAGAAAUAACUUAUUUUGUAAUCAGCCUGUAAAGAAACGGGCUGCUGAGAAGACAAUAUAGAUGUUCCCACAUCCAUCCACACUAAAACGCAUGCUCUUAACUCAAAGAUGAUCUCCUCAAGCCCUCAUUCAGGACUGCCCUCUGCCCUUUUUGAUUUAGAUUUGUCUUCAGGUGCAAAGAGUUGAACCUAAGAUGCUCAUGGCAUCUGUGUCUUCUUUGUGGCUCACAUGGGCUCGUUUAUUGCAGUAUUUUCCAUCUACAUACCUAUGCCUGUUAUCUCCUUCAUAUCUAGUAAACAUGCAACAUUCAUACUCAUAUGUUUAGAGUAUGUUAUGAAAUGUAUGACAUUUAGAUUUAUAUAACAGUAUUUCAGUGUAUUUUUUUUCUUUUUACUCUUUUAUUUACAGCAUAAUUUUUCAGAAUUUAUCCAUGUUGGUGAAUGUGCUUGUGGUUAAUUCUCCAGCUGCAUUGUGUUCCAGAGUAUGUGUCCACUCUGUUUUGCUCACAGGACCAGAUAUAGAUGCCAUGGUUGGCUCAAUGCUUUGCUGCCACAGUGCUGUGAAGACCAUCCUUUUCUAUGCCUGUGUAUGGUCCUGGGACUCCUGAAGACAGAGAUAAGCCUUCUGUUUCCAGUGAUCAUGGGCCGGAUGAAGCCAGCUUCAGGAUAAUAAACCAGGUUUUGCAAAGUAACACUGAAACCAACUUCUGCAGUGGAGUGAAUCUGCCCAGGGGAUAUUUUUUACCCUGAAUAACAAUAACUCCCCUAAGAGUGGAAGUUGCUUUUUUGCAGAGCUGUAUUAUUGUUAUUUGGGACUGAUUGACUGACUGUCAGUCUUUUCUGCCAGAAACAGAAAUGCUAAUCAAGGCUUCAGCACAAUGGGACUGGGGCUCACACGUCUCUACAUCUCUCAGAUCCACGUGGACAACGGUUUUGCUAAAUCUCAUUUUUGUAGGUCUUUCUGGAGAUGCGGCCUGUAAGAAACUCUAGCAAUCUAGAGAAUGUUCUAACUGAGCUCAUUGUAGUACAUUUUUCACCAAAUUACAUUAGCAUACAAAACUUGGAUUAUUGAUUUCUUCUUUACUUGUGGUUUCUGGGCAGAAGUCCAGUUUAUAGAAGCAAAGAGAAUAUGCACACACGAGUUGAGAUUCAUCUAUUUGUUUAUUUGUUCUUUAUUUUAGAAACCUGGGGCAUGAUUCAGAGAGGUGGUGUGACUUUGUACUCUUGAUUUUCUCUACCUAGCACCUCCAUUAGGCUGCACUCAAUCCUUCCAUGGCACAGGCUUUAUAUUUUGAAUCCAAACUGGAGAGGGAGGAGUAGGCAGGGAACCAUUUGCCAGGGACAACAGAAUACCUGCCUUUUGCUAAAUACCUACUGGAUGUCAGGCAGUGAUGACCCUGUACUUACAAGAUCUCUUCUGGGGUAUAUCCUUAUUUUACAGAUAAGGAAAUUCAAGCUUACUGAGGUUAAGCGACGUAUUUCAGGUCACCUAGAAGCAAGUGCAAGAUUAGUGGCUGUUCACUUUAGAAAACAGUCUGCAGUUCCUCAAAAGGGUAAACAUAAGAGUUACUGUGUGUGUGCUCAGUCAUGCCCAACUCUUUGCAACCCCUUGGACUGUAGCCUGCAAGGCUCCUC